rnacentral:rRNA from 1 species
GACGAACGCUGGCGGCGUGCUUAACACAUGCAAGUCGAACGGAAAGGCCCUGCUUUUGUGGGGUGCUCGAGUGGCGAACGGGUGAGUAACACGUGAGUAACCUGCCCUUGACUUUGGGAUAACUUCAGGAAACUGGGGCUAAUACCGGAUAGGAGCUCCUGCUGCAUGGUGGGGGUUGGAAAGUUUCGGCGGUUGGGGAUGGACUCGCGGCUUAUCAGCUUGUUGGUGGGGUAGUGGCUUACCAAGGCUUUGACGGGUAGCCGGCCUGAGAGGGUGACCGGCCACAUUGGGACUGAGAUACGGCACAGACUCCUACGGGAGGCAGCAGUGGGGAAUAUUGCACUAUGGGCUGAAGCCUGAUGCAGCAACGCCGCGUGCGGGAUGACGGCCUUCGGGUUGUAAACCGCUUUCGCCUGUGACGAAGCGUGAGUGACGGUAAUGGGUAAAGAAGCACCGGCUAACUACGUG